GAUGAACGCUGGCGGCGUGUCUAAUACAUGCAAGUCGAGCGAAUGGAUUAAGAGCUUGCUCUUAUGAAGUUAGCGGCGGACGGGUGAGUAACACGUGGGUAACCUGCCCAUUAGACUGGGAUAACUCCGGGAAACCGGGGCUAAUACCGGAUAACAUUUUGAACCGCAUGGAUCGAAAUUGAAAGGCGGCUUCGGCUGUCACUUAUGGAUGGACCCGCGUCGCAUUAGCUAGUUGGUGAGGUAACGGCUCACCAAGGCAACGAUGCGUAGCCGACCGGAGAGGGUGAUCGGCCACACUGGGACUGAGACACGGCCCAGACUCCUACGGGAGGCAGCAGUAGGGAAUCUUCCGCAAUGGACGAAAGUCUGACGGAGCAACGCCGCGUGAGUGAUGAAGGCUUUCGGGCCGUAAAACUCUGUUGUUAGGGAAGAACAAGUGCUAGUUGAAUAAGCUGGCACCUUGACGGUACCUAACCAGAAAGCCACGGCUAACUACGUGCCAGCAGCCGCGGUAA
rnacentral:rRNA from 1 species